ACUGAGCCCAAGGCUGAGAACAAGUGUGUACAACCACCUCCACGAAUGGGGACAUAUGGAUAUCAGGAGAACACUGGCAGUGUCCCCAAAGGAGUGAAUCCUUACUCUAUGAAAGCAAGUGAAUAUUGCUUUAGAAUACAUGUGGUUUAACCAAGACCGUGUCAGCCGAUCAUAGAUGUCCCUGGUGGUCUCCUGCUAACACCUUUCCCACUACCAGCAGGUCUAUGGGGCAGCAGAUACCCUACAAUGCAUUACAAUGAUGGGACCAACUCAAAGCCGUGGGCCUGGACUGCUUCCUAGACAGCUCUCUGGCUUGCUCCCUCCUUCACACUUUGACCUCAUGGCACCAAUGGUUGUACCACCUGACACUCUACCCUACUGAGGCCAUUUGCCCAGAUUGGAUUUGCAAUACAUAGAUUUUUUCAGCAUUAAAAAACUUCAGCAUUAAAAAUGUAUUAAAAUAUGAUCUUUCAAUGAAUCUCUCCUUUGUGUCCUCAUGUUCAUUAAUUUGAUGUGUUAUAUCAUCAUUUACAAUGCUUAUUGCUUCUGCAUUG